GCCAGGCAUGGUGGCUCAUGCCUGUAAUCCCAGGACUUUGGGAGGCCGAGGUGGGUGGAUCACCUGAGGUCAGGAGUUUGAGACCAGCCUGGCCAACAUGGUGAAACCCCAUCUCUA
rnacentral:SRP_RNA from 2 species